ensembl:lncRNA
AGUCACAUGGCCUGACUGGUGCCCUACACUGGCUCGGCGAAGGAGUGCAACAGAUUCCUACUUCAAGGUAUUCUCACAUUUGAAAUGCAACUGCAAUCAUAUCCAAAAUUGCCUUUAUUAUCACCCUGCUAACAGGACCUGUGUUGCAGUGGGCGGAGACAAUCUGGGCCCAGGCUAGCCCCGUCAUUCAAAAUCUGCAGAACUUCCUAGUGCUUUUUUGCUAAGUGUUUGGAAGGACAGACAGAGACACCUCUGUGGGAGAGCAACUCUACCAUUUGCAACAGGGUACAAUGUCAAUCGCCGAAUACUCGCUGAAGCUCAGAACUCUCACAGCUGCAAGUGGAUAGAAUGAGAGAUGACCUACAGACAGGGGCUGGAGCCUCAGCUUCAGUUACAGCUCACUGCAUAUGAUGAUUCAUUUGUAUUAGAAAAAUUAAUACAGUUAUCCAUCCAUUGUUCAAACUGCAUGCAGUCCUGUUUAGCAGCAACACCAGUCUCCGCCGUAACCUCCUACCUCCGCUGACCAGAGCCCAGUAACCCUCCAGAACCAGCACCAGAACCCAUGAUUGUAGAGAAGCAACGGUUAUCUUCAGCUGAGUGGCAGAGAAGGCUGACCCGGGGUCUCUGUUUAUACUGCAGAGCUCAAGGGCAUAUGAUCUUGGCAUGCCCCCUUUGCCCUCCAAGGCCUGUGGUGAGUGUGAUUCAGCCUGAUAUCGUUAAGAUGGAACCACUCACUAUCUGUGUCACUAUCUGUGGGGAAGUCGUGGCCUAAUGGUUAGAGAGUCUGACUCCCAAUCGAAGGGUUGUGAGUUCGAGUCUCGGGCCGGCAGGAAUUGUGGGUGGGGGGAGUGCAUGUACAGUUCUCUCUCCACCUUCAAUACCAUGACUUAGGUGCACCUUGAGCAAGGCAUCGAACCCCCAACUGCUCCCCGGGCGCCGCAGCAUAAAAAUGGCUGCCCACUGCUCCGGGUGUGUGUUCACAGUGUGUGUGUGUGUUCACUGCUCUGUGUGUGUGCACUUCGGAUGGGUUAAAUGCAGAGCACAAAUUCUGAGUAUGGGUCACCAUACUUGGCUGAAUGUCACGUUGGGAAGUCGUGGCCUAAUGGUUAGAGAGUCGGACUCCCAAUCGAAGGGUUGUGAGUUCGAGUCUCGAGCCGGAAGGAAUUGUAGGUGGGGGGAGUGCAUGUACAGUUCUCUCUCCACCUUCAAUACCAUGAUGGUAUUGAAGGUGGAGAGAGAACUGUACAUGCACCCCCCCCCCACACACAAUUCCUGCCGGCCCGAGACUCGAACUCACAACCCUUUGAUUGGGAGGCCGACUCUCUAA